GUUAACCUCCACCCGAUCACCAAUCCAUCGCCUCCUCCUCUUCAGUCUUUCUAAUCGCUCGCUUCCACAGCUUCUCGCUUCUUCCUUUUUCUCCGUCGGCUUCAGGCGUAACAGUUGGACUUGCAACCACUUCUUCAGGAAUUCAGGUCACCACCUUCUUUCACUUUUGUAGUAUAACCCAAUGGAUUGUUCAUAUUGAACAUCGAUCUCAAUCUUCUUUCACUUCAAUACCAAAACGACGAACUCAGUCAAGGCAGGAACAGGGUGUUAUCUCAGUCAACAAUUGCAUCAACUUAUAUGAAGUGUGGGUCUUGCGCGCUCUUAUCGCCAAUGGUUGUUGCUGCAACGGAUGACCAUCCAACACAACUGCCAUUAGGUAAUUUGGUUUUAGGGGAGACGGAAGGCGAGGGAAGACAUGGAGGAGUGUAGGAGUAGGUUGAUUCCACCAUUUAUUUGUCAAUUUCACAGUUUUUAGUGUUUUUAAAUCUUAUUGAUUUUCUUCUUUUUUCUUUUUAAUUUUUGAACACCAACUGCUUGACAAAACUCCUCAAUGAAAAAUUUGGUCAACAUUGUGUUUCUACUUGGUAAACUGUAUUAUCUAUCUCUUCUUUUACAUUAAACUUAUAUUUGUUUCUACCCUGUGAAAAAUUUAAGUGGGUGAAUUCUUGGAUAUGCUUAUCCAGACAGAUGACUCUACAUUCUUGGUUAUAGGUGUAUGUGAACGAUGCUUCCACAUACAUUCUUAUGCAGCUAUUUAAGAUGAACGUUUGAGUUGCACCUGUUUCAGCAGUUUCAGCAGACAUAGGCCAUGGAAUUCACCCGAAUUUCAUGGAAAAACACUAAAAAACCAUUACUCAGAAUUGAACAAACGCCUUCUGAUAAAGAACUAUGCAAACCAACACAAGUGGAAUUACAACUUUUCUUUUUAAAGAAGUUGCUAAAACCUAUAGCCUUCCAACUCAGGAUUUUAUGGUAACAAAUGAUAUGGGAUGUGGAUUGACUAUUGGUCCUAAACAUGCUUCUGGAAUUAGCAUUUGCAAGUUGAUUGUGGAUUCCUCAACUUUCCAUGCACAGUUGAUAAAUUAAUUUUGUUCUUUUAUUGGAAAUUUUCGCUCCUUUUUUGGCUUUUUUUUUUUAAAAAAAAAAGUCCUAGUGUAAGUGAGAUAUACAGAAAGAAAGACAUAGAUAGAUAUUGCCUACAACCAUUUGAUGUCAAAGAAAAUUACAAAGUAAGAACACUCAACAACUUUUACCUCAAUUUUGUGAAAUUUGUAUACUAAAAUGUUCGAUUUAUUGCCAAAUUCUAUUAGUAUUAUGCAUAUGUAAAUACUUAUGAUUAUUAUUUGUUUUAGGGUGCAACAUUAUAGGCAAAAUAGAAGGUGUUCCAGACCUUCAUAUAACUCGAACCGGUUUGCUCUUUUUUAGUGUACUUCACAUUUUUAGUCCCUAAGUAUACUGAUAUUUUCACUUUUUCUCCCAAAAAAAUUCUCUUGGAAGAAGGACAAACAUUAUUAUUAUAUAUGUUACAAAACCAUUAAUUUAGAUGUGUUUGCAUGUUUGUGUUAUUAUAGGCUUACUAGCCUACUACUUCAAUCAUUUGGGGCUUUUAGGUUAAUUUGAUCAAAUAUGACCUUACUUUAAUCUAACUUAUUAAUGAUAUUGAUGAUUUUUUUUCUUUUUUGUUGUCAGGUUUGGAUCACAUAUUUAGGAAACCGGUAAAAUAUCUUCAAUACCAAGGAGUGAGUGAAAAAGUUAUACCAUUGGUGCAGGGUAGAUGUACAUGUGGGCUAAAAUAAAGCUUACUGGUAAUAAAUGGAUGUACUCUAAACCUCUCAUGGAUCUAAGGAAGAGCAUAUUGUAUUGUGUUAGCCGAGAGAGCUGUGCUAAAUCUUAUGCAAAGAAUGAGUUGCAUUGCCACACUCACAAAGGUCGAGGGAAGAAUCACAUAAUGAGUUUAUUUGAUAUGGUGAUGAUAAAACACAAUCAUGUCUCCAUUUCCGGAGGUGUCUCAAAUUCCUUAAAUUUGUUGACCUUUAUUUACCAACAACAAUCUUCAAAUGGGAGUUGAGGUUCAAUUUCAGUGAGUUUGUUUGUUUCUUACCCUUUUAAUUUCAGAGCCAAUUUUUUUUAUUGAACACGUGGAUACAAGGACAUUUGAGGAAAUAACCAACCAUGCAUCUUUCUCUGUG